rnacentral:rRNA from 1 species
UACGUAGGGCGCAAGCGUUGUCCGGAAUCAUUGGGCGUAAAGAGCGUGUAGGCGGCUUGGUAAGUCCGCUGUGAAAGUCCAGGGCUCAACCCUGGAAAGCCAGUGGAAACUGUCAAGCUAGAGUCCGGAAGAGGCGAGUGGAACUCCUGGUGUAGCGGUGAAAUGCGCAGAUAUCAGGAAGAACACCAAUGGCGAAGGCAGCUCGCUGGGACGGUACUGACGCUGAGACGCGAAAGCGUGGGGAGCAAACAGG